rnacentral:rRNA from 1 species
CAGUAGCAAUACUGAGUGGCAGACGGGUGAGUAACAUGUGGGAAUCUGCCUUGUGGUUCAGGACAACAUUGGGAAACCGAUGCUAAUACUGGAUAAGCCCUUACGGGGAAAGUUUUAAUGCCAUAAGAUGAGCCCGCAUUUGAUUAGUUAGUUGGUGAGGUAAUGGCUCACCAAGACAAUGAUCAAUAGCUGAUCUGAGAGGAUGAUCAGCCACACUGGGACUGAGACACGGCCCAGACUCCUACGGGAGGCAGCAGUGGGGAAUCUUGCACAAUGGAGGAAACUCUGAUGCAGCGAUGCCGCGUGAGUGAAGAAGGCCUUUGGGUUGUAAAGCUCUUUUGUAGGGGAAGAUAAUGACUGUACCCUAAGAAUAAGGUCCGGCUAACUUCGUGCCAGCAGCCGCGGUAAUACGAAGGGACCUAGCGUAGUUCGGAAUUACUGGGCGUAAAGCGCGCGUAGGCCGUUGAGUUAGUUAAUUGUGAAAUCCCAAAGCUUAACUUUGGAACUGCAAUUAAAACUGCUCGACUAGAGUUUGAUAGAGGAAAGCGGAAUACAUAGUGUAGAGGUGAAAUUCGUAGAUAUUAUGUAGAACACCAGUUGCGAAGGCGGCUUUCUGGAUCAACACUGACGCUGAGGCGCGAAAGUAUGGGUAGCAAAGAGGAUUAGAUACCCUCGUAGUCCAUACCAUAAACGAUGAUUGCUAGAUGUUGGAAAUUUAUUUUCAGUAUCGCAGCUAACGCAUUAAGCAAUCCGCCUGGGGAGUACGACCGCAAGGUUAAAACUCAAAUGAAUUGACGGGGACCCGCACAAGCGGUGGAGCAUGUGGUUUAAUUCGAAGAUACGCGCAGAACCUUACCAACCCUUGACAUGUCUGUCGCGAGUUUAGGAACUAGACUUUUCGGUCGGCCGGACAGAACACAGUGCUGCAUGGCUGUCGUCAGCUCG